CCUACGGGAGGCUGCAGUGGGGAAUAUUGGGCAAUGGACGCAAGUCUGACCCAGCAACGCCGCGUGAAGGAAGACGGCUUUCGGGUUGUAAACUUCUGUUAAUGGGGAAGAGCAGUAGACGUUACCCCUUGACUAAGCCACGCCUAACUACGUGCCAGCAGCCGCGGUAAUACGUAGGUGGCAGGCGUUGUCCGGAUUUACUGGGUGUAAAGGGCGUGCAGCCGGGCCGACAAGUCAGAUGUGAAAUCCGCGGGCUUAACACGCGAACUGCAGUUGAAACUAUUGGUCUUGAGUACAGGAGAGGUUAUCGGAAUUCCUAGUGUAGCGGUGAAAUGCGUAGAUAUAAGGAAGAACACCAGUGGCGAAGGCGGAUGACUGGACGGCAACUGACGGUGAGGCGCGAAAGCGUGGGGAGCAAACAGGAUUAGAUACCCGGGUAGUC
rnacentral:rRNA from 1 species